UAGGGAAUCUUCCGCAAUGGACGAAAGUCUGACGGAGCAACGCCGCGUGAGCGAUGAAGGCCUUCGGGUCGUAAAGCUCUGUUGUCAGGGAAGAACAAGUAUCGGAGUAACUGCCGGUACCUUGACGGUACCUGACCAGAAAGCCACGGCUAACUACGUGCCAGCAGCCGCGGUAAUACGUAGGUGGCAAGCGUUGUCCGGAAUUAUUGGGCGUAAAGCGCGCGCAGGCGGUUCCUUAAGUCUGAUGUGAAAGCCCCCGGCUCAACCGGGGAGGGUCAUUGGAAACUGGGGAACUUGAGUGCAGAAGAGGAGAGCGGAAUUCCACGUGUAGCGGUGAAAUGCGUAGAGAUGUGGAGGAACACCAGUGGCGAAGGCGGCUCUCUGGUCUGUAACUGACGCUGAGGCGCGAAAGCGUGGGGAGCGAACAGGAUUAGAUACCCUGGUAGUCCACGCCGUAAACGAUGAGUGCUAAGUGUUAGAGGGUUUCCGCCCUUUAGUGCUGCAGCAAACGCAUUAAGCACUCCGCCUGGGGAGUACGGCCGCAAGGCUG
rnacentral:rRNA from 1 species